GAGUUUGAUCGUGGCUCAGGAUGAACGUUAGCGGCGUGCCUAACACAUGCAAGUCGAACGAACAGCCAGAAUCUUAGGAAUCUGGCGGGUUAGUGGCGCACGGGUGAGUAACACGUAGGUGACCUGCCCCGAAGUGGGGGACAACCACUGGAAACAGUGGCUAAUACCGCAUGUGCUUAGCCAUUCGGUUGGUUAAGUAAAGCUGAGGCGCUUCGGGAGGGGCCUGCGGUCGAUUAGCUAGUUGGUGAGGUAAUGGCUCACCAAGGCGAUGAUCGAUAGGGGGCGUGAGAGCGUGACCCCCCACACUGGGACGUGAGACACCGGCCCGACGACUCCUACCGGGAGGGCAGCAGUGAGGAAUAUUGCACAAUGGGCGGCAAGCCUGAUGCAGCAACGCCG
rnacentral:rRNA from 1 species